CAAGGCAGCCAUACCGUCCUGCAAGCGCCUGACCCCGUCAGAUCUCGGAAGCUAAGCAGGGCCAGGCCUGGUUAGUACUUGGAUGGGACACCACCUUGGAAGACCAGGGGCUGCAAGAC
ensembl:rRNA 5S_rRNA 5S ribosomal RNA